rnacentral:rRNA from 1 species
GACGUAGGGCGCGAGCGUUGUCCGGAUUUAUUGGGCGUAAAGAGCUCGUAGGCGGCUUGUCGCGUCGGCUGUGAAAUCCCGUGGCUCAACUGCGGGUCUGCAGCCGAUACGGGCAGGCUAGAGUUCGGUAGGGGAGACCGGAAUUCCUGGUGUAGCGGUGAAAUGCGCAGAUAUCAGGAGGAACACCGGUGGCGAAGGCGGCAUCCUGGACCAACACUGACGCUGAGGAGCGAAAGCCAGGGGAGCGAACGGG